UGAAAUACUAUUUUUAAAUGUUCACAUGAUGGCCUGGGUUGGAUGAGACCUGAAAGAUCAUCCAGUUCCAAACCCCUGCCAUGGGAAGGGACACCUUCUACUAGCCCAGG